rnacentral:rRNA from 1 species
UGCUGCCUCAUCCUAAGUCCAACACUGAGUACGGUUGUUUGGACAUGGCCCAAGGAGGGUGAAAGGCCCGUGGGGGUGGGGAUCACAGUGCUGCUAUGAGUAGACCUUGGAGUCGGGUUGUUUGUGAAUGCAGCCCAAAGUGGGUGGUAAACUCCAUCCAAGGCUAAAUACUGGCACGAGUCCGAUAGCAAACAAGUACCGUGAGGGAAAGUUGAAAAGUACUUUGAAGAGAGAGUAAACAGUACGUGAAACCGUUCAGAGGUAAACGGGUGGAGUUGAACUGCAAGCUCUGAGGAUUCAGCUGGUGAGCGUGGCUUAGUGGCAUGGUUAUAACGGUCGUCCGUUCGGGUUCGCUUAACUGCGGGUCUCUGCCUUCGGGUGGGGAUGCUGGGGUACUCACCAAGUACUACGCGCUCGUGACGGUUCACCGGGCCGGCUUGCCAGUGCACUUUCUCGGAGUAGUCACCACGACCGGCGCUGCUGUUGGUCUGCUGGUGUUAAACCUGCCGUGUAGUGUCCUUGUGGCUCUGUGCGGUGGGGAUGGCAGGUAGCUCGUUGGUUUCGCGCCAUCGAGUGUUAUCAGCUGACAUCAGUGGUACUGUGCGGUGCGUCGGAGACGGCGGCUUGUGGUGUAUACGUGUGUGCCUGUUCUGCUGGCAGUGUCGGGUCUGGUUGUCAUGCAGCCUGUUCAAGCAGGCCUGGUGAUGGCUCGGUAUUGUUUGGUGGGCGGUGGCAUGCGGAACACCUUUAAUGAGGGCCAAUAGUCUGUGGUGUAGUGGUAGACCAUCCACCUGACCCGUCUUGAAACACGGACCAAGGAGAGUAACAUGUGCGCGAGUCAAUGGGCGUUACGAAACCCAAAGGCGAAGUGAAAGUGAAUGUUGGGCUUGUCCGAACUGAGGUGAGAUCCUGGCGUGUCUCACGCGUGGUAUUACCAUGCCCUUGAGCGUCAGGCGCAUCACCGGCCCGUCCCAUGGUGUGGGUGCUCGGCUUCUCGGAGUUGUUGCAUCCCAUCGGGGUGGAGCAUGAGCGUACACGUUGAGACCCGAAAGAUGGUGAACUAUGCUUGCUUA